GUGAAAGGAGCAUGGUGGGCAAAGAUGAUUCAGGCAAUUCUGGUUUUCAAUAAUCACGGGAAGCCCCGGCUAGUCCGCUUCUACCAGCGUUUCCCAGAAGAAAUUCAACAGCAGAUUAUUUGAGAGACCUUCCAUCUAGUUCUCAAGCGGGAUGACAACAUCUGUAACUUCUUGGAGGGUGGAAGUUUGACAGGUGGCUCUGACUACAAACUGAUUUAUCAGCAUUUUGCUACCCUCUAUUUUGUAUUUUGUGUGGAUUCAUCAGAGAGUGAACUUGGACCUCAUCCAGGUUUUUGUGGAGACUCUGGAUAUGUAUUUCAAAAUGUUUAUGAAUUGGAUUUGAUCUUCCAUAUGGAUAAGGUGCACUACGUUCUUCAGGAGGUGGUGAUGGGUGGGAUGGUGUUGGAAACAAACAUGAAUGAAAUCGUGGCUCAGGUUGAAGCUCAGAACAGGCCAGAGAAAUCCAAGGGUGGCCUUUCAGCAGCGCCUGCCCGGGCCGUGUCUGCCAUGAAAAACAUCAACCUGCCAGAGAUGCCUCGGAAUAUCAACAUUGGCGAUCUCAACAUCAAGGUCCCCAACCUGUCCCAGUUUGUCUGAGGGUGGAAGAUGGCUGAACUGAGUCCUUGGAACCAGCAAAGCUGAGCCAGUCCUGCAGCAAAACCCGCUCUGCGCCCUGGAGGAGUCCCACCUCGGGCAGUGGCCCCUGCUGUCCUGAAUCGGGAAGGAGUCCUGUGUCCACUGCCAGCCUGUGCUUGCAUCUCACCUA